CAGGGAGACCCCCCCCAAUGGAGGGAUUGAAAGGCCCCUUCGGGGUUUGUUAAACCCUCCUUUCGGGCCAGGGAACGGAAAGCCGCCAAAGGGUGACCGGUACCCUGCCAGAAAGGAAGCUUCCGGGCUUAACUUACGUGCCCAGCCAGCCCGCGGUUAAGAACGUAGGGGAGCGGAGGCGUUGUUCCGGGAUUCCAUUGGGGCGUAAAAGCGCGGGGUAGGCGGCCUUCGCCAAGUCGGGUUGUGAAAUCCCGGGGGCUCAACCCCGGGGACUGCGUCCGAUACUGCGAGGCUGGAGGUAGGUAGGGGAGAUCGGAAUUCCUGGUGUAGCGGUGAAAUGCGCAGGUAUCAGGAAGAACACCGGUGGCGAAGGCGGAUCUCUGGGCCUUACCUGACGCUGAGGCGCGAAAGCUAGGGGAGCGAACAGGAUUAGAUACCCUGGUAGUCCUAGCCGUAAACGUUGGGUGCUAGGUGUGGGCGGAUAUCGACCCCGUCCGUGCCGAAGCUAACGCAUUAAGCACCCCGCCUGGGGAGUACGGCCGCAAGGCUAAAACUCAAAGGAAUUGACGGGGGCCCGCACAAGCGGCGGAGCAUGUGGCUUAAUUCGAUGCAACGCGAAGAACCUUACCUGGGCUUGACAUGCGGGGUGAAGCCGGUGAAAGCCGGCGCUCUACGGAGCCCGCACAGGUGGUGCAUGGCUGUCGUCAGCUCGUGCCGUGAGGUGUUGCCUUAAGUGGCGCAACGAGCGCAACCCUUGUCCCUAGUUGCCAGCGGGUCAUGCCGGGAACUCUAGGGAGACUGCCGGUGCCAAACCGGAGGAAGGUGGGGAUGAGGUCAAGUCAUCAUGCCCCUUAUGUCCAGGGCUGCACACAUGCUACAAUGCGUGGUACAGAGGGCUGCGAUCCCGCAAGGGGGAGCGAAUCCCAAAAAGCCACGCUCAGUUCGGAUCGGGGUCUGCAACCCGACCCCGUGAAGUCGGAGUCGCUAGUAAUCGCGGAUCAGCAAUGCCGCGGUGAAUACGUUCCCGGGCCUUGUACACACCGCCCGUCACACCACGAAAGUGGGCAACACCCGAAGCCGGUGGCCCAACCCUUGUGGAGGGAGCCGUCGAAGGUGGGGCUCGCGAUUGAGGUGAAGUCGUAACAAGGUAGCCGU
rnacentral:rRNA from 1 species